rnacentral:sRNA from 1 species
AUGGGGACCUAGGAUU